rnacentral:rRNA from 1 species
GACGAACGCUGGCGGCGUGCUUAACACAUGCAAGUCGAGCGGAAAGGCCCUUCGGGGUACUCGAGCGGCGAACGGGUGAGUAACACGUGAGUAACCUGCCCCAGACUUUGGGAUAACCCUCGGAAACGGGGGCUAAUACCGGAUACGACACAGCUUCGCAUGGGGUCUGUGUGGAAAGUUUUUCGGUUUGGGAUGGGCUCGCGGCCUAUCAGCUUGUUGGUGGGGUGAUGGCCUACCAAGACGACGACGGGUAGCCGGCCUGAGAGGGCGACCGGCCACACUGGGACUGAGACACGGCCCAGACUCCUACGGGAGGCAGCAGUGGGGAAUAUUGCACAAUGGGCGGAAGCCUGAUGCAGCGACGCCGCGUGAGGGAUGACGGCCUUCGGGUUGUAAACCUCUUUCAGCAGGGACGAAGCGUAAGUGACGGUACCUGCAGAAGAAGCGCCGGCCAACUACGUG